CCUUCCCCUAGAGUUGUUGCAGAUGUGGAUGCUGUGUCACAUGUGCAUCAGUAGGUGGCAGGAAGGAGAGAGGCUAUGUAUUUGCUCAAUGUUCCAAACUAUGUAUAUCUGAACAAUUAGUUCUUGAAGAA
ensembl:snoRNA Gm23481 small nucleolar RNA SNORA17